UAUGCGGUGAUGAGCUUGUUAACAUGUAAGAAGAACCCUAUUGUGUGUAGGGUUUCUUCGGUGAAAUGUACUUGUUACGCUUGGCUUCUGAGCUUA
rfam:Populus trichocarpa scaffold_3_contig_163, whole genome shotgun sequence.